rnacentral:snoRNA from 1 species
AACCCAUGUUGAGGGAACCUUCUCAGUAAGUCCUAGUAUCUUUCUCAUGCAUCGUAAAGUGUUUCUAAAUCCAUCUACACAAAAUAAGAGAUAUCAUUACGUAAUUU